rnacentral:rRNA from 1 species
CCUACGGGCGACAGCAGUGAGGAAUAUUGGUCAAUGGACGAGAGUCUGAACCAGCCAAGUAGCGUGAAGGAUGACUGCCCUAUGGGUUGUAAACUUCUUUUAUAUGGGAAUAAAAUGUUCCACGUGUGGGAUUUUGUAUGUACCAUAUGAAUAAGGAUCGGCUAACUCCGUGCCAGCAGCCGCGGUAAUACGGAGGAUCCGAGCGUUAUCCGGAUUUAUUGGGUUUAAAGGGAGCGUAGGUGGAUUGUUAAGUCAGUUGUGAAAGUUUGCGGCUCAACCGUAAAAUUGCAGUUGAAACUGGCAGUCUGGAGUACAGUAGAGGUGGGCGGAAGUCGUGGUGUAGCGGUGAAAUGCUUAGAUAUCACGAAGAACUCCGAUUGCGAAGGCAGCUCACUGGACUGCAACUGACACUGAGGCUCGAAAGUGUGGGUAUCAAACAGGAUUAGAUACCCGGGUAGUC